rnacentral:rRNA from 1 species
UACGGGAGGCAGCAGGCAAGGAAUAUUGCGCAAUGGGCGAAAGCCUGACGCAGCGACGCCGCGUGCGGGACGAAGGCCUUCGGGUUGUAAACCGCUUUCAGCAGGGACGAAGCGAAAGUGACGGUACCUGCAGAAGAAGGUCCGGCCAACUACGUGCCAGCAGCCGCGGUAAUACGUAGGGACCGAGCGUUGUCCGGAUUCAUUGGGCGUAAAGGGCUCGUAGGCGGCUGUUCAAGUCGAACGUGAAAACUCGGGGCUCAACUCCAGAACUGCGUUCGAUACUGGAUGGCUAGAGUCUGGUAGGGGGAUCUGGAAUUCCUGGUGUAGCGGUGGAAUGCGCAGAUAUCAGGAGGAACACCGGUGGCGAAGGCGGGAUCCUGGGCCAGUACUGACGCUGAUGAGCGAAAGCGUGGGGAGCAAACAGGAUUAGAUACCCUGGUAG